AGGAGCGGCCGAUGUCUGAUUAGCUAGUUGGUGGGGUAAAGGCCUACCAAGGCGACGAUCAGUAGUUGGUCUGAGAGGACGACCAACCACACUGGGACUGAGACACGGCCCAGACUCCUACGGGAGGCAGCAGUGGGGAAUUUUGGACAAUGGGCGCAAGCCUGAUCCAGCCAUGCCGCGUGAGUGAAGAAGGCCUUCGGGUUGUAAAGCUCUUUCAGUUGGGAAGAAACGAUUACAACUAAUAAUUGUAAUUAAUGACGGUACCGACAGAAGAAGCACCGGCUAACUACGUGCCAGCAGCCGCGGUAAUACGUAGGGUGCGAGCGUUAAUCGGAAUUACUGGGCGUAAAGGGUGCGCAGGCGGUUUUGUAAGUCAGAUGUGAAAUCCCCGGGCUUAACCUGGGAAUGGCGUUUGAAACUACAAGGCUAGAAGGGCGAAUU
rnacentral:rRNA from 1 species